rnacentral:rRNA from 1 species
UACGGAGGGUGCAAGCGUUAAUCGGAAUUACUGGGCGUAAAGCGUGCGCAGGCGGUUUGUUAAGUCUGUUGUGAAAUCCCCGAGCUCAACUUGGGAAUUGCAAUGGAUACUGGCAGGCUGGAGUAUGGUAGAGGAAGGUGGAAUUCCAGGUGUAGCGGUGAAAUGCGUAGAUAUCUGGAGGAACACCGGUGGCGAAGGCGGCAUCCUGGACCGGUAUUGACGCUGAGGCGCGAAAGCCAGGGGAGCAAACGGG